rnacentral:rRNA from 1 species
GAUGAACGCUAGCUACAGGCUUAACACAUGCAAGUCGAGGGGCAGCAUUAGGUAGCAAUACUGAGAUGGCGACCGGCGCACGGGUGCGUAACGCGUAUCCAACUUUCCCGUUACUCUGGGAUAGCCUUCCGAAAGGGAGAUUAAUACCGGAUGUUGUUUGAAUUCCGCAUGUUAUUCAAACUAAAGAUUUAUCGGUAACGGAUAGGGAUGCGUGACAUUAGGUAGAUGGCGGGGUAACGGCCCACCAUGCCCACGAUGUCUAGGGGUUCUGAGAGGGAGGUCCCCCACACUGGAACUGAGACACGGUCCAGACUCCUACGGGAGGCAGCAGUGAGGAAUAUUGGUCAAUGGUCGGAAGACUGAACCAGCCAAGUAGCGUGAAGGAUGAAGGUUCUAUGGAUUGUAAACUUCUUUUAUAUAGGAAUAAAACCUCCCACGUGUGGGAGCUUGUAUGUACUAUAUGAAUAAGCAUCGGCUAACUCCGUGCCAGCAGCCGCAGUAAAAC